ACAUCAAUCAUUUUAAAUAUUUUGAAAUCUGAUCGUUGCAAUACAGUAUACACACGCUCUUCUACAAUCUAACAACUAUAUUUUGCAAUCAGCAAAAGUUUGGCAUUACAUUUUUUUAUCGCAUGAACCAUAUGAAUUCCAUGAUCAGCUUUUCAUUUGACAUGGAACUAUCAUCAAUCAACAGGUGCAUCCUUUUUUCCAGAAAUCAAAUAGAGCAACAACCAUCUCCAGAAUGAACAAUGGUCCCCAAAUAUCAAACUAUAAGCAUGGCAAGAAACCUUGUGCGUAUGUGAUAUAGGCACGCAGCAAGAGGAAUGUAUCUAUCUUUGUAUCUUCAAGAUGGAGUAAGAUCGAACACAGAGAAUGUGGCAUGAUGUUGUACGAAAAAAAGGUACAUAUACAUACAUAGUAGUAUGAGCUACAACCGUACAAGUAACUUGUGGGUAAAACAAUACAAAAUACUAACCUGUGUUAGCCAUUGGAGGGUGAUAAAAUCUAAUGCAUGGGAGAAGCCAACACAAACCCAACAGUACCAAGCUCAAAUUCAUCAUCCUCGAGCAAUCGCAUUCAUUUGGAAUAUUAGCAUAAAGCAAUCAGAAAUACACCAUGUUCUAUAGCACAAUUGCUGCAGAAGCAUAAUUACAAGUUUAAGUACAUAUCCUUCUUUUUAUAAAAAAGAGGUGAAAAGGGCAUAGUUACAGUAAGUGAACUCUGCACUUUGUGAAAGAAUAAUGAACCAGAGCAGGAAAUGACAGGGGCGGACAAGUGUUGCGCGCCAAAUAUAUGAUGACACGCAAUGUAUCUGUUAAAUACGAAAUAAGUUGCUUACAAUUUAAGGACAACGAACUGAAUAUAUUGCAUUAGCAAAACAGAGCACGGUAGUGUAAUGUGUGUACUGUACUUGUAAGAUCAGUCACUAAUCUGAUUCUAAUCUGCUAGGAGUUUUGGCUACAACAUCAUAUUGUAAGGUAAAAAGAGAGCUCUAAAGACGUUGUACAAUCAGCCUUAAACAAUCUCCCUUAGCACUGAAAUCGGAAACACACACACCAACUUGUUUGAUCUUGGUUUUUCUUAUUUGGUCUUGAUGGCUGCUAAUUGUUCUUGCCCAUCAUAAGCCGAUUAUUCUUCAUUUUACUGCAUUGACAUCUCAUUGGCAGUUUUAUCAACUGAUCGUUUUGUAAACCUUGGUCCUUGCUCAUGAACUGAUUUGACCUAUUUUAGAGUUAACAAUAUAAAUAUUUUAAAUGGGGAUGAUAAAUUGGUGAAGGUAAAGUAUUUUAUUUAUUUGAUAACAGACAAUUAUAUUGAGCAGCAGACCAUCGCAAACCAUUAUACUAAGUAUCAUAAAACCCCUUCUCUUAAAGUUUUAUUAAGAAUACUAUUAGCCAAGAAGCAUCUGGUCAUGAAAUGCAAAUUAGCAACAAGUGCUUAUCAUAAGGACAACAGAAGAAGCAUACACAAAGAAAGAAAAAACAGCUCCAUGCUUCUGAAAUUUGACAAAAUAGGUUGGCUUUUCUAGUUCUCGUAAGUUCACAAGAGAGAACAAAAAUAUAUGUAAUCAAACGGAUCAUCACUUCAAUAUAUCUGGGAAGUGAACUUUCAAAAAAAAAACUGGGAAGUUCAUUCUUACCCGUCUUGAGAAAUGUUAGAUUAAUGUUCACUAUAUUAGGAGAAAAACCUGCAAUGCAUAAUCUCAAUUAUAUCAGUAUGGCUCUUGUUUAUUAUCAAGUAAUUUACAUAAUCUAUCCAACUAAAUGUUCAUUUCUGUGACAUUGUAAGAUUAGCAGGGAUAGUUAUUGAUAAAUUUUACAAAAACUAAGAGACAUAAUUAGGUUUAUAAUAUGAAAAGUGAAAAAAAAAUCUUAUCUCUUUCUGAAAGAAUAAAUUAAAAAAGAUGAGCCAGCAAAAGAUAUUGAUUUUGCUUUACAACUUGAACACCACAAAAGGGAACAUCUUACAGAAGUUUGUAAACCACCUAAAAAUGCUUGUUGUUGUACUGCUCUCAUAAAAACACUUCAUGUCUGCAUUUACAUGUUUAACUUUAGAAGAUCAGUGUAAAAGGAAC
rnacentral:lncRNA from 1 species